GGCUUGAGAAGGCAUUGUCCUCGGGGAAGAGCCAUUAGCCCACCUAAGUGGGGCGGUUAUUUACUCUCCUGUCAGGCCUCAUGGCUGUCUCGGUGCCUCCCUUUGUGUGCAUUGUGCAGCGAUAGAAGAUGUGUACAGAGGUGCUGUUUGCCAUUUGGGACCGCAGCGUUUCCUCUCCUCCAAGGGCUGUGAUUGGACCCCACUGCUCUGGAAUGCUCCAGGAGCCCUCAGAGGAACCGGUAUUUGCCUGACCCAAGAGUAUGUUGGGCUGCAUGGAAGGUAUCAUCAGGACAAGCUUUACUGGAGACUACCGCAGAUUCGGGAGGUGGGGACCCGGAGUAGCUCCCCUCCCUGGCCCGGCAGGAUGGGGGCAGAAGGAUGCAGCUGGAGCAUGGCCUGUGAGGGGAACUCUGCUCCCUUCCAGGGCGUAUCGGAGAGCGGUGCUGCUACGGCUGAGGGUCCCGUGCAGCGAAGGAUUACAUACCAGCCAUGCAGAGCCACAGCGAUAAGAUCCUUCUGACAGCAGGAAAGGAAGGACAGCACACCCCCUGAUACGGUGACCUUUGUAGCAGACCACAGUUUAUGAGAAAAGGGGAAACAAGGAAAAAAAGUUAUCUAUUCAAAAAAAGUCCCACUUUGUGGCCAUCCGCAACUAUAGACCCAGUCGCUGUAACACAGUGCCCAUAGGAUGCAGCACAGAAAUCUGCGAGACCCUGCAGCAACCACAAAUCCUGCAGGAGUGGAAAGAGCCACGACUGUAAACUGACAGCCAAAGCGGGAGGGGUUUGUAAAUCGUUUCCCAACGAUGUAAUCCUAUAAAGAGAAUUAAGAAAUGAAGUGCCGAAUUAAUUCCCACAGAGAAGAAAUACAUUUCUGAUCUGUGCAACUGACCUACUUUAAUUAAACUUUUU